rnacentral:rRNA from 1 species
AACGAACGCUGGCGGCAGGCUUAACGCAUGCAAGUCGAACGCAUCCUUCGGGGUGAGUGGCAGACGGGUGAGUAACGCGUGGGAACGUGCCCUUCAGUUCGGGAUAACCCAGGGAAACUUGGGCUAAUACCGGAUACGUGCGAGAGCAGAAAGAUUUAUCGCUGAAGGAUCGGCCCGCGUCUGAUUAGCUAGUUGGUGAGGUAAUGGCUCACCAAGGCGACGAUCAGUAGCUGGUCUGAGAGGAUGAUCAGCCACAUUGGGACUGAGACACGGCCCAAACUCCUACGGGAGGCAGCAGUGGGGAAUAUUGGACAAUGGGCGCAAGCCUGAUCCAGCCAUGCCGCGUGAGUGAUGAAGGCCUUAGGGUUGUAAAGCUCUUUCGUCCGGGACGAUAAUGACGGUACCGGAAGAAGAAGCCCCGGCUAACUUCGUGCCAGCCGCCGCAGUAACAC